rnacentral:piRNA from 1 species
UGCCAUCACCCUUGGGGGCUCAUCACAACCA